UGUUCGUGAGUCCAUCACUUCCGUGGUACGACGAGGUGUGCUACCGUUAUGUGGACUGAUCGGGCCUAACUCGCACGCAAGCGGCUACGCAAGUCAGAUGUGAAAACCCUGGGCUUAACCAAGGAAGUCGAGUCGAAACUGCAUGGCUUACGUUCGAAAGAGGAUCGUGGAAUUCCCGGUGUAGAGGUGAAAUUCGUAGAGAUCGGGAGGAACACCAGUGGCGAAGGCGGCGAUCUGGGUCGAUACUGACGCUGAUGUGCGAAAGCGUGGGGAGCAAACAGGAUUAGAUACCCUAGUAGUC
rnacentral:rRNA from 1 species